AUCUGGACUACCUAAUGGCAUGGAAGAGUGCGGGGUGUGCUUUUAUUUGAGGCUUCCUGCUUCCCAGCCAGCACCGUCAGCUUUAGCCACAACAGCGCAGAGCUUCCAUGUGUGGCAGCCACACAUCCCUGAGUUUGUUGGGGGGGUGGGGAGGAGGAACAGAAGUGGGAAGUUGCAUCUGGACUUCCCAGAGACACCACAGACACCUGGUGCCUGGUUGGCUGCUCUCAUCCAGCAAGAUCCAUCUGUAUUUCAGCCCUCCCCUGGCAAAGAAGUAUGUGAAUUUUGAAGAGUCUGACCCUGCAGCCAUGUAAGUGUGGAGAACAAAUUUUGUGGGAUGGAGGAGGUGCGCGCUCUUUUGACACCUUCCUCCUGCAGAGGACUGUAAUGGACAAGAAAACAGAAGCGAAGGGAUGCCCAGGAAUUCCAGCAUGGCCAUGUCAACUCGGGCCAAGCAGGAGGGGGGCUUUGUGCAUGAAUGUUGGCUCUGUGAACCUUUAGCCAGUGAUUAAAGAGCAGCCUGAGGUUUGGCAACUCCUGGAGCUGCCUGAUCAAAAAAUGAGGUGACCCCUGGAUCAUACACACACCCCUUUGCAGCUGCCCAUCACACUAGCUGAGCUGCCUCUCAGGCUGCUCAAAGGAAGGAGGCCAGAAGCUUUCGGCCUUCCUGAGCCAGAUUCCCAUUGCUCCUCCUAGCAGAGGUUCUGCCUGCCCAGCCCCCUCCCUAAUACAGAAUUCUUCACUUUUUUCCCUUCCCAGAAUGGGAGGCUCUCCAGAGACUGGAAUGACACCUCGAGGACGUGACAGUCAUAUUUACGAAGAAGUGGAAUAGGAGAAUCACUGCGGAGAUGGGCUAACACGCUGUAUGAACUUUCCCAUGGAGCCCUUGGGCUGCAGAAAGACUCCUCUGGCAGGGUACCACCAGGACACCCUUUGAUCUUCCUAUUAAACAUGCUUUUAAUUCC